GUUAUAUGCAUAGAUUGUACAACAUCACGUGUAAAACUAAAAGUAAUUUUGAAGCUGUCAUGAGAAAUAUUUGACAUUGAGGCAACUCCUGCAUCAAUAAUAUAUAAAUAUACAAGAUCUUCCCAUUCUUCCGACGUCAAGCGAAAACCGUCAUAAGUCUCAUACGGUUUUAUUCAACGGCCUUGUGUAAACAUAAUUCAAAUCUACAAAA